UGCGCACGCCGGGCCCGCCGCCCGCCCCGCGCGGGGCAAUGGCGGCCGCGCCGCAGCCGCCAGCGCUCGCGCUCCUUCUCGCCCGAGGGCGGCCCCGGCGGUGACCUCCCCCUGCCCCUGAGGCGGGGUGGGAGGAAGGGGCAGCCCCGGCCCGGGAUGCUUCGUGCUCGUUGGGAUCGGGGCUGCCCCCGCUGCUGGCGGGGCUGCGCAGCGCUCGUCCUCUCGGGGCAGCGCGGGCCUGCUUGGGGGAAGGUGCGCUGAGGCCUCUGAAAGUCGGCGGCUGUGGACUCCAGAGAAGAUCCCUGAUGCUAGAACAUCAUUAACAGGGAAUGCUCUCCAUUCCCGAAUACUGCUUGCAGCAUGGAAUCACUGGAAUGACUGACCUGAUCUGAGAAAUGUAAACUGUCUCCUUCUGAAGCUUGAAAGGCUUUGUUGAGCUUUAUAGUCAAGGAGACUUGCUUUAUCUUAAAACCUUGUAUGUUCUAGUAUGACUAGCAAGCUCAGUAGAGAUAUUCCUCAAAUAUGUUUUUAAUUUCAGCAUCGUAAUAAAAUCAUUUGGUGAUCCCA